UGGUAAAAGAUUGGUCAUAGUCCAAGAAUCGCAAUGCAGGGAAUUUUAGAUUGGUUCCCAUGCAAUUGUUUCAUUGAAAUUUUAUUUAUAGGUUUUGGUUAUCCUUUAUUUCCCAAUUAGUGGUCAUGCACUUCAGCACAGAAUGGUCCAAGAUUCGUCUCUGUUUCAAAUAUCCAGAUUAACAUUUGAUUCCUCUUCUAAGCUCAAAAUAAUCCUAAAUCGGAUUCAGGAUAAUUCUUCUGCCUUUCAAAUCAAAUGUUGUUUUGUUACGGUUUCCUAACUUGAAGCCUCCAUG